CUUUCUCACCACCCACCUCACCCGGAAAUCCCCUGUCUCGAAAAGGCACUCUGUCACGUGUACACAGGAAAGGGCCCUGACAAGAGGAUGGGACUGCAGUUGUGGCUGCCAGGGCCCCGGCCAGGGUGAAAACAAGGAACAUUCCAGAGAAGAUCACAAGGAUGCGAAUAAAAUCGGAGCUGCACAGGGAUCUUUGGGCUGUAAUAGGAGGGGACACACAGGGGUUAGGGGAGGGUCUAGCCCUUGGCUCCCUCAGCCCAGCCCUCCUGUCACCUUGCCUCUCCCCUUUCCCCCACCUUAUUCUAUCCCACCCGCCACCGUUGGCCAACUCCUCUCCUAAACAGUGGACUCUGCUUUUUCCCCUCCUCUUAUCCCUAAUCCUAGGAGCUUUCUGUCUGGCUUCCCUCCUGGCCCCUCGUGUAUGCAUUCUCUCUAGCGGUGGGGAUUAAGGAGAAAACUCACGUGGCCAGUGGGUAGAGAGAGUCCGGGCAGGCAGCUGCCUGAAGUCAGCCAGAGUCUGCAUGUGCCCAGCUGUCCUGGCCUCCAGCAUCUCUGGAAAAACAGAGACAGAAUGAGUAGCAGCAGGGGACCCCAUAGGGCACAUCUGAAGGCCUGAGAGGUUGGAGUGCAGUGGCACGAUCUCGGCUCAGUGCAACCUCCGCCUCCUGAGUUCAAGUGAUUCUCCUGCCUCAGCCUCCCUAGUAGCUGGGAUUACAGGACAAGGAGAGGGACAAAUUCCUUCUUGGCAUCCUUAUGGCCCUGUGACCUGCUAAUGAAUGCUGACUCUGAGUUGCUACUAGAAUUUGGUUUCCUUGUGGCUUCCCAGGAAUUGGUCUCACUCUGCUCACUCUGUCUCCCAAGCUGGAGUGCAGUGGUACAGUCACGGCUCACUGCAGCCUCCACUUCCUGGACUCAAGUGAUCUUCUCACUUCAGCCUUCUGAGUAGCUGGGACUACAGCCCCCUCUGCAGCUCUUCAUGGGGGUCCACUCAAGUCAGAAGCCACAUUUGGGUGUGAUUCAGAGAGCUGUUUAUGCAAAACCAGCUUUGUCACCAUCAGGCAAGGCACCUGAAUUCCCACCGCAGAGAGUGUUGUGGCCGUGAGGACUUUUCUGUCACCAGCCAUUUCCAGGUAGACCCAGUGUAAUCACAAGCAUCCUUGUAAGUGGCAAAGAGGCAGAGGAGACAGCGCCAGAGAGGCAGCUGCAUGAGAAGGAUCAAGAUGUUGCUGACUUUGAAGUUGGAAGAAGAAGGCCAUGAGCCUCAGUAUGUGGGCGGCUUCUAGAAGCUGGAAGGGGCAAGGAGAUGGAUUUGACCCUUCAGCCUCCAGGGGCAGCUGUACCUGCCAUCACUGAUUGUAGCCUGGUGAGGCCUGUUUUAGACUUCUGACCUGUAGAGCUGUAACAUAAUACAUUUGGGUUGUUUUCAACCACUAAGUUUGUGGUAAUUUGUUGUAGCAGCUGUAGAAAAUGAAUACAUAUGAAUCCUCUGGCAUUUGUUUGAGAUUUGCUCUAUGGCCUAGUAUGUGGUUGUAAAUGUUCCAUCUGUGCCUGAAAAAAUGUAUAUUUCUAAUUCAGUAGUCUCUGCUUUUUUUUUUUAUUUUGUACCCCAUCAAUAAAAUGAUUUUCAGCAUGUAUCCCCAAAUAAACAAUAUUUUAUUUAUUGAUUGAUUGAUAAACAGACAUGUUUAAUGAUAGCUUGCUUUUCACAGAGGUGACUUCGGAGACUUCUAAUCUAUAAUCCAGGAGUAUAUAACCAUG
rnacentral:lncRNA from 1 species